ensembl:lncRNA
UGCUCCUCCGGCGACUGCCACUGCCGCCGCCGCCGCCGCCGCUGCCGGGCUGAGGAGAGGGAGGGAGGGGCGGCGGGCCCGCGGGGGGGCGAGGCGGGCCGGCUCUCAGCCUCCCCCCCGGAGAGCGGCCGCCCGCAGGAUGCUGCUGCGCCCCGGCUCUCCGCGUCCCCCCCUCUCCGCGCUCCGCCGCGAUCCCCGAACGUGCGGAGGGAAGAAGGAGGGCGGGCGAGGGAGGCGCGGGGAGGGAGGAGCGCGGGGGGAGGAGGAGGCAGAGGAGGAGGAGGUGGUGAAGGAGGAGGAGGAGGAGGACCGCGCUGCCGGCGGAAUGGGAAGUUUGACAAAUCGCUCCAGAGGCCCGAGGAGGAGGGGGCGGGGAGGAACGGCGGCCCUGCCCCCCCCCGCCCCGUCCCCAGACGAGGUGCGCGGGGUUCGGGGCCGGGGGGCGGGGAGAGAGGGAGAAGGCGGGCAGAGGGGUGGGAGGAGGAGCGCGGGAGCGGCCCCAGCCGGUCCUGCCCCGGCCCCCACCCCCGGGCAGGGGGUCACGGCAUCCGGGGGGGGCGCUCAGCCGCCGCCGCGGCCCGGGGCUCAGCGGUCCAGUCUUCUGCCCGCGGCGCGGCUGGAGCGGCGGCGUCGGCAACAGGCAAGCUUAAAGGAAAAGGAGAUGAUCGUGUCACUCGCCCGCCCGCGGGGGCGCCGCGCCCCCACUCCCGGCCCCAAGCCUGUCUAGGACCCCCGCCCCGUCCGGGGAAGGGGUGCCGCCCCUCCGCCCCCGCCCAGUGCGCGCACGCUGGGGCGCGGCGCCCGCCCGGCCCAGCUCGUCCCGGGGCGCUAGCUUACCCCAGCCCGCCCCGCUUCCCCACCCGGCCUCGCCCCCUGGCCGCCCCCCGCUGCCCCGCCCGAGCCGCACUCCUCUCCACCCGCCGCGUCCAAAGCCCCCAGCUCGCUCCCCGGGCCUGGGCCCGCGCCCCCGGGGAGGCCGGGGCCCGCGGGCGGGCGCCGGCGCCCUCGAGGGAGGAGGCGGGCGCGGGCCGGAGUGGGUGGGGGCUGCUCUCAGACCCCGCGCCACCCGGGCUCCUCCCCCGGGACCCGCCGCCGCCACUUCCCCCAAUUUUUUUUUUUCCCGGGCAAACUUUCCCGGGCCCGUCCCGGGGGUCGGUGUGGGAGGGGGUGCCUCCAAGUUUCCUCCUCUGCCUGGGAAGAUCGCGGUCCUUCCACCCCCACCCCGCCCCUCGCCCCCUAGGCGCCGGGCCGCGCCCCCCACCCUUAGAGCUGGCAGAUCCGAGGGCGGGACGGGGGCGGGGGAAGGAACUCGGGCUCCCAAGCCCAUCCCCCGCCCCGGGGCGCCCCCGAGAGGGGGCCACCGCGCCCAGCGCCCAGCUUGCCAGCAGUACUGGGCGAAAAGAAUUGAUUAUUGAUUGGGUGAUUGGGGUCGCUGAGGCGCCGAGCGGGCCGGACCGGCCGGCCGCGGAGAGGAGGAGCUGGCGGGGCUGCGUUGGCGGCAGGGCGACGCGGGCUCACUUACGGGCGACCGCGAGAGCGCGGGUGGGCCGGAGCUCAUUGGGACGACCCCCGGGCGGCGGCGGCUGA